rnacentral:lncRNA from 1 species
UAAUGCUGCCAGAAGUAAUUGGCGUUCAUCUAGCACGGAACUAUGUGAUACUGAUAUUGCUUCAUAGCAUCAAUUCAAGUUUUACAUCACCAACUCAUCAAGUUUUAGAAAAUAGUGAAGUGGUGCCCAGCAAUCUUAAAAUGAAACUGAAAGGUGCAUCUGAAGCUAUAUUAAAUUUCUUCAGGCCAGUGACCUGCCGUCACAAAGAAAAAGGCACCUUGGUUCCUUGCGCUGUAGGAGGAAGCAUUAACAGAACUGAGUGCUUGGAAAAUAAAUGUUGUCCUUCCAAAGACAGACAUGAACUGGCAUGUUAUGUCCCAUUUAGAGACAAUCUGCAACUGACAUUUCGACUGUUUGUGCUUGGGGCAAUAGGAUUUUUUAUUUUGGGGUGUCUGCCAUUGUGUUGCUGUGUCUGUUUGCAAAGGAGUCCAUGUGUCAAUCCUUUACGAAGGGCAAACAAAAAAAUAAAGAAAAUUUUGCAGAAGAAAAGAGCACAUAGUGAAGAUAUGCAUAGGUUGUUACCGGAUUAACCUAAAGACUCUGAGGACCAUAAACACAAGAAAAAG